GGAGGAUCCGAGCGUUAUCCGGAUUUAUUGGGUUUAAAGGGAGCGUAGAUGGAUGUUUAAGUCAGUUGUGAAAGUUUGCGGCUCAACCGUAAAAUUGCAGUUGAUACUGGAUAUCUUGAGUGCAGUUGAGGCAGGCGGAAUUCGUGGUGUAGCGGUGAAAUGCUUAGAUAUCACGAAGAACUCCGAUUGCGAAGGCAGCCUGCUAAGCUGCAACUGACAUUGAGGCUNGNUNGUGUGGGUAUCAAACAGGAUUAGAUACCCUGGUAGCCCACACGGUAAACGAUGAAUACUCGCUGUUUGCGAUAUACAGCAAGCGGCCAAGCGAAAGCGUUAAGUAUUCCACCUGGGGAGUACGCCGGCAACGGUGAAACUCAAAGGA
rnacentral:rRNA from 1 species